AACGAACGCUGGCGGCAGGCUUAACACAUGCAAGUCGAACGCCCCGCAAGGGGAGUGGCAGACGGGUGCGUAACGCGUGGGAACAUACCCUUUCCUGCGGAAUAGCUCUGGGAAACUGGAAUUAAUACCGCAUACGCCCUACGGGGGAAAGAUUUAUCGGGGAAGGAUUGGCCCGCGUUGGAUUAGCUAGUUGGUGGGGUAAAGGCCUACCAAGGCGACGAUCCAUAGAUGGUCUGAGAGGAUGAUCAGCGACAUUGGGACUGAGACACGGCCCAAACUCCUACGGGAGGCAGCAGUGGGGGAUAUUGUACAAUGGGGGCAAGCCUGAUCCAGCCAUGCCGCGUGAGUGAUGAAUGCCUUAGGGUUGUAAAGCUCUUUCACCGGUGAAGAUAAUGACGGUAGUCAGAGAAGAAGCCCCGGCUAACUUCGUGCCAGCCGCCGCCGUAAUAC
rnacentral:rRNA from 1 species